UGGGGAAUAUUGCAAAAUGGGCGAAAGCCCGAUGCAGCAACGCCGCGUGGGCGAUGAAGGCCUUCAGGUCGUAAAGCCCUUUUUGAGGGGAUGAGGAAGGACAGUACCCUCAGAAUAAGCCUCGGCUAACUACGUGCCAGCAGCCGCGGUAAAACGUAGGAGGCGAGCGUUAUCCGGAUUUACUGGGCGUAAAGCGCGUGCAGGCGGAUUGGAGAGUUGGAUGUGAAAGCUCCCGGCUUAACUGGGAGAGGUCGUUCAAUACUUCCAGUCUUGAGUGCAGUAGAGGGAAGUGGAAUUCCGGGUGUAGUGGUGAAAUGCGUAGAUAUCCGGAGGAACACCAGUGGCGAAAGCGGCUUCCUGGACUGUAACUGACGCUCAGACGCGAAAGCUAGGGUAGCAAACA
rnacentral:rRNA from 1 species